AUUGAACGCUGGCGGCAGGCUUAACACAUGCAAGUCGAGCGAGUGGCGGACGGGUGAGUAAUGUCUGGGAAACUGCCUGAUGGAGGGGGAUAACUACUGGAAACGGUAGCUAAUACCGCAUACCAUCAGAUGUGCCCAGAUGGGAUUAGCUAGUCGGUGGGGUAACGGCUCACCUAGGCGACGAUCCCUAGCUGGUCUGAGAGGAUGACCAGCCACACUGGAACUGAGACACGGUCCAGACUCCUACGGGAGGCAGCAGUGGGGAAUAUUGCACAAUGGGCGCAAGCCUGAUGCAGCCAUGCCGCGUGUAUGAAGAAGGCCUUCGGGUUGUAAAGUACUUUCAGCGGGGAGGCGUUACCCGCAGAAGAAGCACCGGCUAACUCCGUGCCAGCCGCCGCGGUAAUUC
rnacentral:rRNA from 1 species